UGGUGGAGUGAUUUGUCUGGUUAAUUCCGUUAACGAACGAGACCUUAACCUACUAACUAGUACUUCGUAACAAACGAAUGUUACUUCUUAGAGGGACAAUGUGUUGUAAACACAAGGAAGUUUAAGGCAAUAACA
rnacentral:rRNA from 1 species